rnacentral:rRNA from 2 species
CCCUUCGGGGCUUUUUGGUGAUUCAUGAUAACUUUACGGAUCGCAUAGCCUUGCGNCUGGCGACNGGUUCAUUCAAANNNUUUCUGNCCCUAUCAACNUUUCGAUGGUAAGGUAUUNGGCUUANCCAUGGUUUCAACGGGUAACGGGGNAAUUAGGGUUCGAUUCCGGAGAGGGAGCCUGAGNAAACGGCUACCACAUCCAAGGAAGGCAGCAGGCGCGCNAAAUUACCCAAUCCCGACACGGGGAGGUAGUGACAAUAAAUACUGAUACAGGGCUCUUUUGGGUCUUGUAAUUGGAAUGAGUACAAUUUAAACCUCUUAACGAGGAACAAUUGGAGGGCAAGUCUGGUGCCAGCAGCCGCGGUAAUUCCAGCUCCAAUAGCGUAUAUUAAAGUUGUUGCAGUUAAAAAGCUCGUAGUUGAAACUUGGGCCUGGCUGGCGGGUCCGCCUCACCGCGUGCACUCGUCCGGCCGGGCCNUUCCUUCUGAAGAACCUCAUGCCCUUCACUGGGCGUGCUNGGGGAAUCAGGACUUUUACUUUGAAAAAAUUAGAGUGUUCAAAGCAGGCCUUUGCUCGAAUACGUUAGCAUGGAAUAAUAAAAUAGGGCGUGCGUUUCUAUUUUGUUGGUUUCUAGAGACGCCGCAAUGAUUAACAGGAACAGUCGGGGGCAUCAGUAUUCAGUUGUCAGAGGUGAAAUUCUUGGAUUUACUGAAGACUAACUACUGCGAAAGCAUUUGCCAAGGAUGUUUUCAUUAAUCAGUGAACGAAAGUUAGGGGAUCGAAGACGAUCAGAUACCGUCGUAGUCUUAACCGUAAACUAUGCCGACUAGGGAUCGGGCGAUGUUCUUUUUCUGACUCGCUCGGCACCUUACGAGAAAUCAAAG